GUUUUUAUAGUUAAAAAAAAAUAUUGGUCUUGUAAACCAAAGUUAAGUUAAAUACUUUAAAAACU
rnacentral:tRNA from 1 species